rnacentral:tRNA from 1 species
GGUGGCUCAAUGGUAGAGUGCUUGCCUUGCAUGCAUGAGGUCCUGGGUUCGAUUCCCCAGCACCA